GGGUUGUGAGGUUAAGCGACUAAGCGUACACGGUGGAUGCCCUGGCAGUCAGAGGCGAUGAAGGACGUGCUAAUCUGCGAUAAGCGUCGGUAAGGUGAUAUGAACCGUUAUAACCGGCGAUUUCCGAAUGGGGAAACCCAGUGUGUUUCGACACACUAUCAUUAACUGAAUCCAUAGGUUAAUGAGGCGAACCGGGGGAACUGAAACAUCUAAGUACCCCGAGGAAAAGAAAUCAACCGAGAUUCCCCCAGUAGCGGCGAGCGAACGGGGAGCAGCCCAGAGCCUGAAUCAGUGUGUGUGUUAGUGGAAGCGUCUGGAAAGGCGCGCGAUACAGGGUGACAGCCCCGUACACAAAAAUGCACAUGCUGUGAGCUCGAUGAGUAGGGCGGGACACGUGGUAUCCUGUCUGAAUAUGGGGGGACCAUCCUCCAAGGCUAAAUACUCCUGACUGACCGAUAGUGAACCAGUACCGUGAGGGAAAGGCGAAAAGAACCCCGGCGAGGGGAGUGAAAAAGAACCUGAAACCGUGUACGUACAAGCAGUGGGAGCCUCUUUAUGGGGUGACUGCGUACCUUUUGUAUAAUGGGUCAGCGACUUAUAUUCUGUAGCAAGGUUAACCGAAUAGGGGAGCCGAAGGGAAACCGAGUCUUAACUGGGCGUUAAGUUGCAGGGUAUAGACCCGAAACCCGGUGAUCUAGCCAUGGGCAGGUUGAAGGUUGGGUAACACUAACUGGAGGACCGAACCGACUAAUGUUGAAAAAUUAGCGGAUGACUUGUGGCUGGGGGUGAAAGGCCAAUCAAACCGGGAGAUAGCUGGUUCUCCCCGAAAGCUAUUUAGGUAGCGCCUCGUGAAUUCAUCUCCGGGGGUAGAGCACUGUUUCGGCAAGGGGGUCAUCCCGACUUACCAACCCGAUGCAAACUGCGAAUACCGGAGAAUGUUAUCACGGGAGACACACGGCGGGUGCUAACGUCCGUCGUGAAGAGGGAAACAACCCAGACCGCCAGCUAAGGUCCCAAAGUCAUGGUUAAGUGGGAAACGAUGUGGGAAGGCCCAGACAGCCAGGAUGUUGGCUUAGAAGCAGCCAUCAUUUAAAGAAAGCGUAAUAGCUCACUGGUCGAGUCGGCCUGCGCGGAAGAUGUAACGGGGCUAAACCAUGCACCGAAGCUGCGGCAGCGACACUAUGUGUUGUUGGGUAGGGGAGCGUUCUGUAAGCCUGUGAAGGUGUACUGUGAGGUAUGCUGGAGGUAUCAGAAGUGCGAAUGCUGACAUAAGUAACGAUAAAGCGGGUGAAAAGCCCGCUCGCCGGAAGACCAAGGGUUCCUGUCCAACGUUAAUCGGGGCAGGGUGAGUCGACCCCUAAGGCGAGGCCGAAAGGCGUAGUCGAUGGGAAACAGGUUAAUAUUCCUGUACUUGGUGUUACUGCGAAGGGGGGACGGAGAAGGCUAUGUUGGCCGGGCGACGGUUGUCCCGGUUUAAGCGUGUAGGCUGGUUUUCCAGGCAAAUCCGGAAAAUCAAGGCUGAGGCGUGAUGACGAGGCACUACGGUGCUGAAGCAACAAAUGCCCUGCUUCCAGGAAAAGCCUCUAAGCAUCAGGUAACAUCAAAUCGUACCCCAAACCGACACAGGUGGUCAGGUAGAGAAUACCAAGGCGCUUGAGAGAACUCGGGUGAAGGAACUAGGCAAAAUGGUGCCGUAACUUCGGGAGAAGGCACGCUGAUAUGUAGGUGAAGCGACUUGCUCGUGGAGCUGAAAUCAGUCGAAGAUACCAGCUGGCUGCAACUGUUUAUUAAAAACACAGCACUGUGCAAACACGAAAGUGGACGUAUACGGUGUGACGCCUGCCCGGUGCCGGAAGGUUAAUUGAUGGGGUCAGCGCAAGCGAAGCUCUUGAUCGAAGCCCCGGUAAACGGCGGCCGUAACUAUAACGGUCCUAAGGUAGCGAAAUUCCUUGUCGGGUAAGUUCCGACCUGCACGAAUGGCGUAAUGAUGGCCAGGCUGUCUCCACCCGAGACUCAGUGAAAUUGAACUCGCUGUGAAGAUGCAGUGUACCCGCGGCAAGACGGAAAGACCCCGUGAACCUUUACUAUAGCUUGACACUGAACAUUGAGCCUUGAUGUGUAGGAUAGGUGGGAGGCUUUGAAGUGUGGACGCCAGUCUGCAUGGAGCCGACCUUGAAAUACCACCCUUUAAUGUUUGAUGUUCUAACGUAGACCCGUGAUCCGGGUUGCGGACAGUGUCUGGUGGGUAGUUUGACUGGGGCGGUCUCCUCCUAAAGAGUAACGGAGGAGCACGAAGGUUGGCUAAUCCUGGUCGGACAUCAGGAGGUUAGUGCAAUGGCAUAAGCCAGCUUGACUGCGAGCGUGACGGCGCGAGCAGGUGCGAAAGCAGGUCAUAGUGAUCCGGUGGUUCUGAAUGGAAGGGCCAUCGCUCAACGGAUAAAAGGUACUCCGGGGAUAACAGGCUGAUACCGCCCAAGAGUUCAUAUCGACGGCGGUGUUUGGCACCUCGAUGUCGGCUCAUCACAUCCUGGGGCUGAAGUAGGUCCCAAGGGUAUGGCUGUUCGCCAUUUAAAGUGGUACGCGAGCUGGGUUUAGAACGUCGUGAGACAGUUCGGUCCCUAUCUGCCGUGGGCGCUGGAGAACUGAGGGGGGCUGCUCCUAGUACGAGAGGACCGGAGUGGACGCAUCACUGGUGUUCGGGUUGUCAUGCCAAUGGCACUGCCCGGUAGCUAAAUGCGGAAGAGAUAAGUGCUGAAAGCAUCUAAGCACGAAACUUGCCCCGAGAUGAGUUCUCCCUGAGACUUUAAGUCUCCUGAAGGAACGUUGAAGACGACGACGUUGAUAGGCCGGGUGUGUAAGCGCAGCGAUGCGUUGAGCUAACCGGUACUAAUGAACCGUGAGGCUUAACCUUACAACGCCGAAG
rnacentral:rRNA from 1 species